CAAAUAUUUACUUACUAAACGUUAUUUUAAAUCAAUAGCCAGCAAAUAGAAUUUUUUGAACGAUCCGUCAGCGUCUGCAAAAAAGUGAGACCAAGCGACUUGCAGUUACAACUGCGUCCACUAGGGGCAACCGGCUGCUGUUCCCAGGGACGCGGCUCCGUCUCAGUUAGCGACGAAGAAACGAUUCACCAUCUUGGAUCAUUUGUUUGGUUCCGCUCCUUGCUCACACCUGUGGCACACACCUGUCCCUGAACGACCCCCCCCGGAGUUCACCUGUACCUGUCUUCCGGUAGGUUCGUUAGCUCACUACUUUCACACCAAAUGUUUGUCGUGAAUGACGUGUGGAGACGUUCAUAACACAAACAAUAGAAGAGGAGUCUAGUCCUCGAGAGGCACUGAACCUUCGCUCGGUGUGGCGGUGCAGGAUGUGGACAUACAACUUCGUCAGCCUGUCUCAGCUCUUCACCGUGGUUCAAAUAAAACCCCGUGGAAGAACCGAAGUGUGUGUGUGCAAGGCAGCGCCUCCUCCGCUGUGUGGAGCUGCGGGGCUAGCUCGGCUAGCUCGGCUAGCAGCUGCAGGGUCUUGUCUUUGGUCGCACCAAUUGGAGUUUCAUGAAGGACGUCUCUUCUGGGCAGAUGCCACCAGACAGCUUUGGCCAGGAAGGAGCUUUCACAACUCAACCUGUGUGGCCACCCGACAAGCGAGUCCAAAGUUUUGCAGGAACUCUGCACAGCUAGUCCUCGGUUUUCCACGGGCUCGAGGAAAUGAGAAGGAAGGGAAGAGAGAGUACAGGUUUGAGGUGUUGGUGGACGUGCAGUGGACGGGAUCUCAGUCAGGCCCAACCCCCGCUCCUCCAAACAUGGUUACUUCUGGUUCCAAUGGGUGACUUCACGGGAAAUUACCGGCAAAGAUUGUCCUUUCAGAAGUGUUUCUUGAGAUAAGCCUCUACGUACCUUUUCAUGCAAAACACAUUUUCC
rnacentral:lncRNA from 1 species